UCGCGGCCUAUCAGCUUGUUGGUGGGGUAACGGCCCACCAAGGCAGCGACGGGUAGCUGGUCUGAGAGGAUGUCCAGCCACACUGGGACUGAGACACGGCCCAGACUCCUACGGGAGGCAGCAGUGGGGAAUCUUGCGCAAUGGGCGAAAGCCUGACGCAGCGAUGCCGCGUGCGGGAUGAAGGCCUUCGGGUUGUAAACCGCUUUCAGCAGGGACGAAAUUGACGGUACCUGCAGAAGAAGCCCCGGCCAACUACGUGCCAGCAGCCGCGGUAAUACGUAGGGGGCGAGCGUUGUCCGGAUUUAUUGGGCGUAAAGAGCUCGUAGGCGGUUCCAUAAGUCGGACGUGAAAUCUCCACGCUCAACGUGGAGGGGCCGUUCGAUACUGUCGUGACUCGAGUCCGGUAGGGGAGUGUGGAAUUUCCGGUGUAGCGGUGAAAUGCGCAGAGAUCGGGAGGAACACCCGUAGCGAAGGCGGCACUCUGGGCAUGUCCUGACGCUGAGGAGCGAAAGUGUGGGGAGCGAACAGGAUUAGAUACCCUGGUAGUCCACACCGUAAACGUUGGGCGCUAGGCGUGGGGCCUAUUCCAUGGGUUCCGUGCCGCAGCUAACGCAUUAAGCGCCCCGCCUGGGGAGUACGG
rnacentral:rRNA from 1 species